GCCCGCUUGGCGGAAUUGGUAGACGCAAGGGACUUAAAAUCCCUCGGCCCUGCCGGGCCGUGCCGGUUCGAGUCCGGCAGCGGGCACCA
rnacentral:tRNA from 2 species